GGGGGGGGGGGGGGGGGGGGUGGGGCGGGCGGGGGGCGGGAGCGGCCGGGGGGGUUGCGCCUCUGGGGGUGGCGGCGGGCGGGGGGGUGACACGUGGAUCACCUCCCUAUCAGACUGGGAGGACUUCGGGCACCCGGCACUCAUACCGGACAAUAUAUUUACCCUCCUGGUUCCAUCGUGACAGACGGUUUUGCUGUCACUUAUCGCUGGAUCCGCGACGCAUUCGCUAGUUGGUGAGGUAACGGCGUACCAAGGCGACGAUGCGUAGCCGACCUGAGAGGGUGAUAGGCAACACUGGAACUGAGACACGGUCCAGACUCAUACGGGAGGCAGAAGUAGGGAAUCUUCCGCAAUGGGCGAAAGCCUGACGGAGCAACGCCGCGUGAGUGAUGAAGGUCUUCGGAUGGUAAAACUCUGUUAUUAGGGAAGAACAAAUGUGUAAGUAACUAUGCACGUCUUGACGGUACCUAAUCAGAAAGCCACGGCUAACUACGUG
rnacentral:rRNA from 1 species